UACGGGGGGAGCAAGCGUUGUUCGGAUUUACUGGGCGUAAAGGGCGCGUAGGCGGCCACCGCAAGUCGGUUGUGAAAUCUCUGGGCUUAACCCAGAAAGGUCAACCGAUACUGCGGGGCUAGAGUGCAGAAGGGGCAACUGGAAUUCUCGGUGUAGCGGUGAAAUGCGUAGAUAUCGAGAGGAACACCGGCGGCGAAGGCGGGUUGCUGGGCUGACACUGACGCUGAAGCGCGAAAGCUAGGGGAGCGAACGGG
rnacentral:rRNA from 1 species